rnacentral:rRNA from 1 species
AUUGAACGCUGGCGGCAUGCUUUACACAUGCAAGUCGAACGGCAGCGCGGGCUUCGGCCUGGCGGCGAGUGGCGAACGGGUGAGUAAUACAUCGGAACGUGCCCAGUAGUGGGGGAUAGCUCGGCGAAAGCCGGAUUAAUACCGCAUACGACCUGAGGGUGAAAGCGGGGGAUCUUCGGACCUCGCGCUAUUGGAGCGGCCGAUGGCAGAUUAGCUAGUUGGUGGGGUAAAGGCCUACCAAGGCGACGAUCUGUAGCUGGUCUGAGAGGACGACCAGCCACACUGGGACUGAGACACGGCCCAGACUCCUACGGGAGGCAGCAGUGGGGAAUUUGGGACAAUGGGCGAAAGCCUGAUCCAGCAAUGCGGCGUGUGUGAUGAAGGCCUUCGGGUUGUAAGCACUUUUGGCGGGAACGAAAAGGACUGUGCCAAUACCACGGUUCGAUGACGGUACCCGCAGAAUAAGCACCGGCUAACUACGUG